UUCGAUUAUGGCUCAGAUUGAACGCUGGUGGGAUGCUUUACACAUGCAAGUCGAACGGCAGCACGGACUUCGGUCUGGUGGCGAGUGGCGAACGGGUGAGUAAUGUAUCGGAACGUGCCUAGUAGCAAAGGGGAUAACUACGCGAAAGCGUAGCUAACCACAUACGCCCUUCGAGGAAAGCGGGGGACCUUCGGGCCUCGCACUAUUAGAGCGGCCGAUAUCGGAUUAGCUAGUUGGUCGGGGUAACGGCUCGCAAGGCGACGAUCCGUAAGCUGGUUUGAGAGGACGGCCAGCCACACUGGGACUGAGACGGCCCAGACUCCCUGCAGGAGGCAACAGUGGGGGAAUUUUGGACAAUGGGAAACCCUGAUCCAGCCAUCGCGGUGAUACGAUGAAGGCCUUCGGGUUAUGCAAGCACUUUUGGCAAGGAAAGAAACAGCUUUGCCAGGAUAAUGCACCCGUGCAACUGACAGUACCUGCAGAGGCAGCACCGGCUAACACGUGCCAGCAGCCGCGGUAAUACGUAGGGUGCAAGCGUUAAUCCGGAAUUACUGGGCGUAAAGCGUGCGCAGGCGGUUUGGAAAGAAAGAUGUGAAAUCCCAGAGCUUAACUUUGGAACUGCAUUUUUAACUACCGAGCUAGAGUGUGUCAGAGGAAGUGGAAUUCCGCGUGUAGCAGUGAAAUGCUGUCAUGCAGGAAACACCGAUGGCGAAGGCAGCCUCCUGGGAUAACACUGACGCUCAUGCACAGCGUAGGGAGCCGACAGGUUGCAGAGUACCUGGUAGUCCGCCCUAAACGAUGUCAACUAGCUGUUGGGGCCUUCAGGCCUUGGUAGCGCAGCUAACGCGUGAAGUUGACCGCCUGGGAAGGCGCAGACGCAAGAUUAAAACUCAAAGGAAUUGACGGGGACCCGCACAAGCAGUGGAUGAUGUCAACGGAUAAUUCUGAUGCAACGCAAAAACCUUACCUACCCUUGACAUGUCUGGAAUCCCCGAAGGGUGGGGGUGCUCGCAAGAGAACCGGAACACAGGUGCUGCAUGGCUGUCGUCAGCUCGAUGUCAUUGAGGAUGUUGGGAUUCAGAGUCCACACCAACAGCGCAGCCCUUGUCAUUAGUUGCUACGAAGGGCACUCUAAUGAGACUGCCGGUGACAAACCGGAGGAAGGUGGGGAUGACGUCAAGUCCUCAUGGCCCUUAUGGGUAGGGCUUCACACGUCAUACAAUGGUCGGGACAGAGGGUCGCCAACCCGCGAGGGGAGCAAUCCCGAAGCCCGAUCAUAAUCCCGGAUCUUGAUCUGCAACUCGACAUUGAAGUCAGAUAAAGUAAUCGCGGAUCAGCAUGUCGCCAGUGGGCUUACGUUCCCGGGUCUUAGCAUGCCGCCGUCACUGCAGGAGUGGGUUAUACACCCAGUAGUUAGCCUAACCGUAGGGAGGCGAUUACCACAGUAGGAUUCAUGACUGGGUGGAGGUAAUAACAGGUAA
rnacentral:rRNA from 1 species